ensembl:lncRNA
AUGUAUCUGGAACUGUUCACUGGUACAGAGGCCAAAUGGUAUAGAAUGACCCAUAUUCAUACUAUUAAAUGCUCUUACCCUCCAAAACAGUGUAGCCACAUCCAAACUGCCUUGUGGGAAUUGUUUCUGGCACACAUUAACUCCCCUGCCAUGCCCAGGAUCUCUUUGGAGGAAGGUAAUUUGGCUGAUGUCAAAACCAUCCAAGAGCAUACUUGGACAGUGCAAGUGUCGACACUCCAGCACCAGUGCCUGGGAAUGCUCCCUGGUAUGGGUUAUCUUACUGGCACAAGCAGAAAUGAAACAUUCUCCCCAACAGGCACAGAAUUGCCCCAGGUUGCAGUGAGCGGAGAUCUGGAGUGGGAUGGCAUCUAUGCAGUUCUACACAAUCCAUGGUGCAGGCGUGUACUGCUCAGCUCUUCCCCAGCCCUUUUCUCUCCAUAAUUCCUAUAUCCACCCUCAUGUUUUCUCAUGCCCCUCAUGUUUUCUCUCUUUCUCCUUCAGUUCCUUCAUCCUUUUCAGCUGUUAUGUACCUGAAUGAAUAGUUGGUUGAGGUGAUGAGAAGAAUGGGUGAGAGGGGAACAUGAAAGUUGGGGAGAGGAAAAUUAUUGCUUCUCAGUGUGUAACAUUUAUUAGUAUGCGUAACUCAUAAUAGUGUUCUGUUGUUAUUCCCAAAUUUCUGAAGCUUGCACCACUGCCCUCAAGGUGUUCCCAGCUUUCCAAAUACACAUGUGCCUUGUGUUUGAGUGGUUUGUGGUAAAUUUGCUUUUUUACAAUGGUCUCCUUAUGAGAGCAAAUGAGAAGAAGCAGCUCAGAUUACUACAAAUUGUUAUUUAUUUAUUUAUUUAUUCAUUCAUUCUGAAGACUGAGUUACAGGGCUUUGAGUACCUACCAUCUAGGACUGUUGCAGGGAAAAAGUGUUUUCAGGGAGUUCUGAAUCAAAACCACAGGUAUUCACAGUACAGCAGUGAAUGUUUUAAAUAAGAGCUUUGGGUUAGUCACCUACCACACCACAAAAUCCUUUUAUUUGAUAUAAUACAAAAAAACAGAAGCAAAAAAAACAAGGAAAGGAUGUUAAUGGUGAUAAAGGCUGAGAUAAAUGUUUUUGUUAUUACAGAACUGGAGGUAGAUUUGCAUACUGGCACCCUGUCUGGAAGCUUGUGCUGUCAACUGGCUAACUGAAUUCAGAGUAGAAUAGGUAAGUAGAUAUACUGUGGUUGACCUUUGUGCAAAAAUACCUAAGAAGACAUGGGGUCAAAUUGUGAACUGAAAUUGAGCACAAGUUACCAAUAUUAAAAACACUAUGGUAGUAAAUUAAAUAUCUUGAGGAAAACAGACAUUCUAUAUUUUAAACAAUUAUUUCAGAUUAAUUUAAAAGUGCAUUUAUGGAAAGGAACCUUACUGUGGCGUUUGUUCACAAUAAUUUUAGUAGUGAAGCUAUAAGCAUUCCAUAACAAUUAUAUAGGAAUUACUCAUGAUAUUUAAUGUCUACUUUCUUGUUCACGUUUUCUUUCCUUUCUUUCUUUCUUUUCUUUCUUUCUUUAUCUUUCUUUCUUCCUUCCUUCCUUCCUUUUUCUUUCUUUCUUUCUUUCUUUCUUUCUUUCUUUCUUUCUUUCUUUCUUUCUUUCUUUCUUUCUUUCUUUUUUCAGUUUGUGUAAAAUAAGAUAAAUAUCAGGGAUUACUCUACAAGCUUUUGUAAACAUUAAGGGUGUAUUUAACAUUUAAUCUCUUCAUGUAGACAUUAAAAUCCUGCUUAUUUUAGAGAACUUUCUUAAGAUGGAAUAAAUUGCCCUCUGGAAGUGUCUGUGUCUCUUCA